rnacentral:rRNA from 1 species
CAGUCGCCACGGUAAUACAGAGGGUGCAAGCGUUAAUCGGAUUUACUGGGCGUAAAGGGCGCGUAGGUGGUUAUGUAAGUGAGAUGUGAAGUCCCCGGGCUCAACCUGGGAACUGCAUCUUAUACUGCGUAGCUGGAGUGCAGUAGAGGGUAGUGGAAUUUCCGGUGUAGCGGUGAAAUGCGUAGAUAUCGGAAGGAACACCAGUGGCGAAGGCGGCUACCUGGACUGACACUGACACUGAGGCGCGAAAGCGUGGGGAGCAAACAGGAUUAGAUACCCCCGUAGUCCCUGUCUCUUAUAC